CGGCGGACGGGUGAGUAAUGUAUGGGGAUCUGCCCGAUAGAGGGGGAUAACUACUGGAAACGGUGGCUAAUACCGCAUAAUGUCUACGGACCAAAGCAGGGGCUCUUCGGACCUUGCACUAUCGGAUGAACCCAUAUGGAUUAGCUAGUAGGUGGGGUAAAGGCUCACCUAGGCGACGAUCCCUAGCUGGUCUGAGAGGAUGACCAGCCACACUGGAACUGAGACACGGUCCAGACUCCUACGGGAGGCAGCAUG
rnacentral:rRNA from 1 species